rnacentral:rRNA from 1 species
UACGGAGGGAGCUAGCGUUGUUCGGAAUUACUGGGCGUAAAGCGCACGUAGGCGGCUUUUUAAGUCAGAGGUGAAAUCCCGGGGCUCAACCCCGGAACUGCCUUUGAAACUGGAGAGCUAGAAUCUUGGAGAGGCGAGUGGAAUUCCGAGUGUAGAGGUGAAAUUCGUAGAUAUUCGGAAGAACACCAGUGGCGAAGGCGACUCGCUGGACAAGUAUUGACGCUGAGGUGGCGAAAGCGUGGGGAGCAAACAGGG